rnacentral:lncRNA from 1 species
CUCCCAUCUGUUCUGCUUAUAGUAACAUUUAUAUGAGUGGGCAAGCAGGACUGGCUGUUGGUCUGUAGGACUGAGCCUCUGAAGUUACUGGAGGAAUCUGAAAUAAAGGACAAGGAGAGUGUAGUAACAAUUGCACUGGAGAGUGAUGGCUAUCAGCAAUACAGAAUUAAUCUGCUCUAGAAUUUAUCUUUUUAGCUCUUUCUACAGAUUCCAAAGAGAAGUUUGAACAGAUGUAAGAGGGUAACAGCCCAAGACUGCAGACAAUUGAAAUGUAGUAAUUAGGAGCUUAUUAUAAGCAGCUGCAGCACUGCUCUUUUAUUACAAUGGGGAAAGGAAACUUUGUUCUGCUAAUAGAUUAUUGUUUAUGUGUUUUGGGUAGUAUUUAUUUCAAGGAGGUUCUGUCUUUGCUUUGAGGUGCUUGACAAACCUGAAUGACUCAGGGUGUUCUCAAGCACUAAAACAUGCACCUUCCAGCCCUGCUGCCUCCUGGGGUCACAGUUUGUUACCUGCUAAUAAAUCCUUACAUGUCGUGUCAGAAGUCUUUCAUCUUCCCAAGAUGAUUAUUCAAAGGAUUUUGAAGAUCUGAAUAGGUUGGCCUUCCAUUUGCAACUUGAACUCUCACCUGCUAUGAAAAGUGUUUUUCUUUUGACUUUACAUCUUUACAUGGGUUUCCUUGGAUCAAACUGUCACUUAAAAUUUGACUUAAAAUGUAAUAAUAGCCAUCUAAAUUGAAAUACUUGUCCAUUCUUUGACAAUCUAUAAUGCUAUGAACAGAUAGCUAUUCAAUUAAAGCUGAUUAUUGUACAGCCUGUAAUAUAGGGAAAAAAAUAAAUAAUGUAAAGCUUUAUUUUGCCCA